CACGUAGGGGGCAAGCGUUGUCCGGAUUUAUUGGGCGUAAAGAGCUCGUAGGCGGUUUCGUAAGUCGGGUGUGAAAGCCCGGGGCUUAACCCCGGGUCUGCAUUCGAUACGGGCUAGCUAGAGUGUGGUAGGGGAGAUCGGAAUUCCUGGUGUAGCGGUGAAAUGCGCAGAUAUCAGGAGGAACACCGGUGGCGAAGGCGGCUACCUGGCCCAACAUUGACACUGAGACCCGAAAGCGUGGGGAUCAAACAGG
rnacentral:rRNA from 1 species